rnacentral:rRNA from 1 species
CCUACGGGAGGCUGCAGUGAGGAAUAUUGGUCAAUGGACGAGAGUCUGAACCAGCCAAGUAGCGUGAAGGAUGACUGCCCUAUGGGUUGUAAACUUCUUUUAUAUGGGAAUAAAAUGUUCCACGUGUGGGAUUUUGUAUGUACCAUAUGAAUAAGGAUCGGGUAACUCCGUGCCAGCAGCCGCGGUAAUACGGAGGAUCCGAGCGUUAUCCGGCUUUAUUGGGUUUAAAGGGAGCGUAGGUGGUUUGUUAAGUCAGUUGUGAAAGUUUGCGGCUCAACCGUAAAAUUGCAGUUGAAACUGGCAGUCUUGAGUACAGUAGAGGUGGGCGGAAUUCGAGGUGUAGCGGUGAAAUGCGUAGAUAUCACGAAGAACUCCGAUUGCGAAGGCAGUUCACUGGACUGCAACUGACACUGAGGCUCGAAAGUGUGGGUAUCAAACAGGAUUAGAUACCCGUGUAGUC